rnacentral:rRNA from 1 species
GUGGUUCAAGUUUUUAAGGGCACACGGUGAAUGCCUUGGCAUUAGGAGCCGAAGAAGGACGUAGGAAUCUGCGAUAAGCCUCGGGGAGUUGAUAACCGAACACUGAUCCGAGGAUGUCCGAAUGGGGAAACCCCGCUGCCUGUUAUGGGUAGUGACCCACAUCUGAACACAUAGGGUGUGUGGAGGGAACGUGGGGAAGUGAAACAUCUCAGUACCCACAGGAAGAGAAAACAAUAGUGAUUCCGUAAGUAGUGGCGAGCGAACGCGGAACAGGCUAAAC